AUUGAACGCUGGCGGCAGGCCUAACACACGCAAGUCGAGCGGUAACACAGAGAGCUUGCUCUCGGGUGACGAGCGGCGGACGGGUGAGUAAUGUCUGGGAAACUGCCUGAUGGAGGGGAAUAACUACUGGAAACGGUAGCUAAUACCGCAUAAUGUCGCAAGACCAAAGAGGGGGACCUUAGGGCCUCUUGCCAUCGGAUGUGCCCAGAUGGGAUUAGCUAGUAGG
rnacentral:rRNA from 1 species